UGCCUACGGGGGGCAGCAGUGAGGAAUAUUGGCCAAUGGGCGAGAGCCUGAACCAGCCAAGUCGCGUGAGGGAAGACGGUCCUAUGGAUUGUAAACCUCUUUUGCCGGGGAGCAAAAAGCGGUACGUGUACCGCAUCGAGAGUACCCGGAGAAAAAGCAUCGGCUAACUCCGUGCCAGCAGCCGCGGUAAUACGGAGGAUGCGAGCGUUAUCCGGAUUUAUUGGGUUUAAAGGGUGCGUAGGCGGAUUUUUAAGUCAGCGGUAAAAUGUCCGGGCUCAACCCGGGCCGGCCGUUGAAACUGGGGA
rnacentral:rRNA from 1 species